UACGUAGGGGGCAAGCGUUGUCCGGAUUUAUUGGGCGUAAAGAGCGUGUAGGCGGUUUGGUAGGUCCGUUGUGAAAACUCGAGGCUCAACCUCGAGACGCCGAUGGAAACCAUCAGACUAGAGUCCGGAAGAGGAGAGUGGAAUUCCUGGUGUAGCGGUGAAAUGCGCAGAUAUCGGGAGGAACACCAGUGGCGAAGGCGCCUUCCUGGCCUGUAACUGACGCUGAUACGCGAAAGCGUGGGGAGCAAACCGG
rnacentral:rRNA from 1 species